rnacentral:tRNA from 1 species
GGGCGCGUAGCUCAGCGGUAGAGCGCCGCCCUUACAAGGCGGAUG